GACGAACGCUGGCGGCGUGCUUAACACACGCAAGUCGAACGGAAAGGCCCUGCUUUUGUGGGGUGCUCGAGUGGCGAACGGGUGAGUAACACGUGAGUAACCUGCCCUUGACUUUGGGAUAACUUCAGGAAACUGGGGCUAAUACCGGAUAGGAGCUCCUGCUGCAUGGUGGGGGUUGGAAAGUUUCGGCGGUUGGGGAUGGACUCGCGGCUUAUCAGCUUGAUGGUGGGGUAGUGGCUUACCAAGGCUUUGACGGGUAGCCGGCCUGAGAGGGUGACCGGCCACAUUGGGACUGAGAUACGGCCCAGACUCCUACGGGAGGCAGCAGUGGGGAAUAUUGCACAAUGGGCGGAAGCCUGAUGCAGCAACGCCGCGUGCGGGAUGACGGCCUUCGGGUUGUAAACCGCUUUCGCCUGUGACGAAGCGUGAGAGACGGUAAUGGGUAAAGAAGCACCGGCUAACUACGUG
rnacentral:rRNA from 1 species